AGUUGUGUCAUCUUACCUGGCAGGUUUAGAUGGUUCUGGGAUCUAACACUGUCUGGUAAUGAUGACGGGACU
rnacentral:pre_miRNA from 1 species